UCGGGGUGGAUUAAUGGCGAACGGGUGAGUAACACGUGGGCAAUCUGCCCUUCACUCUGGGACAAGCCCUGGAAACGGGGUCUAAUACCGGAUAACACUCUGUCCCGCAUGGGACGGGGUUAAAAGCUCCGGCGGUGAAGGAUGAGCCCGCGGCCUAUCAGCUUGUUGGUGGGGUAAUGGCCUACCAAGGCGACGACGGGUAGCCGGCCUGAGAGGGCGACCGGCCACACUGGGACUGAGACACGGCCCAGACUCCUACGGGAGGCAGCAGUGGGGAAUAUUGCACAAUGGGCGAAAGCCUGAUGCAGCGACGCCGCGUGAGGGAUGACGGCCUUCGGGUUGUAAACCUCUUUCAGCAGGGAAGAAGCGAAAGUGACGGUACCUGCAGAAGAAGCGCCGGCUAACUACGUGCCAGCAGCCGCGGUAAUACGUAGGGCGCAAGCGUUGUCCGGAAUUAUUGGGCGUAAAGAGCUCGUAGGCGGCUUGUCACGUCGGAUGUGAAAGCCCGGGGCUUAACCCCGGGUCUGCAUUCGAUACGGGCUAGCUAGAGUGUGGUAGGGGAGAUCGGAAUUCCUGGUGUAGCGGUGAAAUGCGCAGAUAUCAGGAGGAACACCGGUGGCGAAGGCGGAUCUCUGGGCCAUUACUGACGCUGAGGAGCGAAAGCGUGGGGAGCGAACAGGAUUAGAUA
rnacentral:rRNA from 1 species